UACGUAGGGUGCAAGCGUUGUCCGGAUUUAUUGGGCGUAAAGAGCGUGUAGGCGGUCAGGUAGGUCCGUUGUGAAAACUCGAGGCUCAACCUCGAGACGCCGAUGGAAACCAUCUGACUAGAGUCCGGAAGAGGAGAGUGGAAUUCCCGGUGUAGCGGUGAAAUGCGCAGAUAUCGGGAAGAACACCCGUGGCGAAGGCGGCUCUCUGGAACGCAACUGACGCUGAGACGCGAAAGCGUGGGGAGCAAACAGG
rnacentral:rRNA from 1 species